rnacentral:rRNA from 1 species
AGACGUCUACAUUAGAUACCCCCGUAGUCCCAGCCGUAAACUAUGCGCGUUAGGUGUACUGGUGACCACGAGUCACCGGGGUGCCGAAGGGAAACCGUGAAACGUGCCGCCUGGGAAGUACGGUCGCAAGGCUGAAACUUAAAGGAAUUGGCGGGGAGCACCACAACGGGUGGAGCCUGCGGUUUAAUUGGACUCAACGCCGGGAAGCUCACCGGAUAAGACAGCGGAAUGAUUGCCGGGCUGAAGACUCUGCAUGACUAGCUG